rnacentral:rRNA from 1 species
UACGGAGGGUGCGAGCGUUAAUCGGAAUUACUGGGCGUAAAGGGCUCGUAGGCGGCCAACUAAGUCGGAUGUGAAAUCCCCAGGCUCAACCUGGGAACUGCAUCCGAUACUGGAUGGCUUGAAUCCGGGAGAGGGAUGCAGAAUUCCAGGUGUAGCGGUGAAAUGCGUAGAUAUCUGGAGGAAUACCGGUGGCGAAGGCGGCGUCCUGGACCGGCAUUGACGCUGAGGAGCGAAAGCUAGGGGAGCAAACGGG